rnacentral:rRNA from 1 species
UACGAAGGGGGCAAGCGUUGUUCGGAAUUACUGGGCGUAAAGGGCGCGUAGGCGGUGCGCUAAGUCAGAUGUGAAAGCCCUGGGCUUAACCCGGGAACUGCAUUUGAUACUGGCGCGCUCGAAUCCGGGAGAGGUUGGUGGAAUUCCCAGUGUAGAGGUGAAAUUCGUAGAGAUUGGGAAGAACACCGGUGGCGAAGGCGGCCAACUGGACCGGUAUUGACGCUGAGGCGCGAAAGCGUGGGGAG